CCAGGACUGAUUCCCAGCGAAAGGAGGGAAUGAGCUAAUCGCUUCCUCAAGGCAAACUCCUUCUCUGCAGCCUUAAUCAGGAUUUACCUGUUUGCCUCAGAUGGGUUUGCCAGAGCGCUAAGGUUUCCCAGUUACGGUCUUCUCAUCACCUGUCUCCCCCGCUGCACCGUUAGAAUUUGUUUGAAGAUAAUUACGCAGCUAAGACAGAAGCGGAUGGCCAUAGAAUUCCUACUCUGAUACCGCGCAGCGGGGACCCAGUCUGGACUGUUCUACCCACUAGGAAGCCGGGAGUCACAAACCCUCCCAACGCCACAGCGUGACUCAGAGGCAGCUGAGCAAGACGCGGACAGUGGGGGACAGCUGCCGCAGGCUCGCACUGUCACAUCGCCUGUGGGAGCAAAGCGAACCUCCUUAGACACAGAGAAUGAGUUAGCCAUUGCGCUUCCCAGUGACACUGUAGUUGCAACUUCUGAACCGGGAAAUGCAACUUUCCUCGGCUUCGUGGAGCAACGAAGGCAGCAGUGUGAUGGCGCGUGUUCCCCAGCGUGGUCCACGCAAGCUAACUCAGUGGCCACCGCUUUCCCCAUGGAGCAUUUGGUG